UACGUACUGCGCGAGCGUUAUUCGGAAUCACUGGGCGUAAAGGGUGCGUAGGCGGUUUGAUAAGUCAGGUGUGAAAUCCCACGGCCCAACCGUGGAACUGCACUUGAAACUGUCGAACUUGAGCGAUCUAGGGGUGAGCGGAACUUCCGGUGGAGCGGUGAAAUGUGUUGAGAUCGGAAGGAACACCGAGAGCGAAAGCAGCUCACUGGGGAUAGGCUGACGCUGAGGCACGAAAGCUAGGGGAGCGAACGGG
rnacentral:rRNA from 1 species